rnacentral:rRNA from 1 species
CCUACGGGAGGCUGCAGUGGGGAAUAUUGGACAAUGGGGGGAACCCUGAUCCAGCCAUGCCGCGUGUGUGAAGAAGGCCCUCGGGUUGUAAAGCACUUUCAGUGAGGAAGAACGCCUGGUGGUUAAUACCCAUCAGGAAAGACAUCACUCACAGAAGAAGCACCGGCUAACUCCGUGCCAGCAGCCGCGGUAAUACGGAGGGUGCGAGCGUUAAUCGGAAUUACUGGGCGUAAAGCGCGCGUAGGUGGCUUGAUAAGCCGGUUGUGAAAGCCCCGGGCUCAACCUGGGAACGGCAUCCGGAACUGUCAAGCUAGAGUGCAGGAGAGGAAGGUAGAACUCCCGGUGUAGCGGGGAAAUGCGUAGAGAUCGGGCGGAAUACCAGUGGCGAAGGCGGCCUUCUGGACUGACACUGACACUGAGGUGCGAAAGCGUGGGUAGCAAACAGGAUUAGAUACCCCGGUAGUC